AUAGCUCAGUGGUAUAGCACAUGCUUAGCAUGCAUGAGGUCCUGGGUUCAAUCCCCAGU
rnacentral:tRNA from 1 species